rnacentral:rRNA from 7 species
ACCCGCUGAACUUAAGCAUAUC